GAUGAACGCUAGCGGCAGGCCUAACACAUGCAAGUCGAGGGGUAACUAGAGUGAUAGCAAUAUUACUUUGGCUAGACCGGCGCACGGGUGCGUAACACGUAUGCAACCUACCUUAUACUGGGGAAUAACUUCGAGAAAUCGGCGCUAAUACCCCAUAACAUUGCGAAGAGGCAUCUCUUUGCAAUUAAAGCUCCGGCGGUAUAAGAUGGGCAUGCGUCCAAUUAGCUAGUUGGUGAGGUAACGGCUCACCAAGGCUACGAUUGGUAGGGGUUCUGAGAGGAUGAUCCCCCACACGGGUACGGAGACACGGACCAGACUCCUACGGGAGGCAGCAGUGGGGAAGAUUGCGCAAUGGACGAAAGUCUGAAGCAGCCAUGCGGCGUGCAGGAUGACGGCCCUAUGGGUUGUAAACUGCUUUUGUACGGGAAUAAACCCUUCUACGUGUAGGAGGCUGAAGGUACCGUAAGAAUAAGCACCGGCUAACUCCGUGCCAGCCGCCGCCGUAAUAC
rnacentral:rRNA from 1 species